rfam:Citrus sinensis cultivar Ridge Pineapple sweet orange scaffold00014_contig_14, whole genome shotgun sequence.
AUAUUUGCGGUUGCGGCAUCAUCAAGAUUCACAAGCUUUAGCAAGGGAAUUCAUUGAAUAGGCCUAUUCAAAAGUUCCUUCCAAAUAAUGGGAAUCUUGAUGAUGCUGCAUCAGCAAAUAU